rnacentral:lncRNA from 1 species
GUGGAGCACAGGGUGUCAGAUGGUGAGCCACGGUUCAACGAGAGACCACAGGGAAAUUUAAAGAGGAAAGUUUAUGGCUCACAAGUCCUGGAAGAAGUUCACGGCGUACCCUGAGUGGCCACACAGGGAGGUCAAGGCAGAGUACAGACAGAGAGAGCAGCGGAAUCAGGGGGACGUGCCUUCAUUAGGGUCCAUGGGUGGAGUGCUUUGGAGGUCCUGGCCAGGGCUGGAAAGCCAUCCCAGUGACUUCAUCCAACCCCACGUGUGCACGAAAGAGUUGAUUCAGCAGGUCUGGGAUCUUCAAACCCUGCACAUUCCAAAGAAAGUUCUGGCCCUUGCCUGUCUCAUAGAAGACAACCUCUAAGCUCUUAGAAUAUCCUGCUGAGAGCAUCCUGGUCAGGAGAGAACGCCACCUGCAGAGACAACAGUAUGAAAAACUCUACCCACUACACUACUCUACACUGCACCACGCAACUGAGUCCCUCAUCCCCAAAUAGGUACUCCAGGCCCCCCUCGGAGACACUGCGUGUUCAGUUCCAGGCCACCACAAUAAAAUGAAUGUCGCAAUAAAGUGAGUCACACGAAUUUUUUGGUUUCCCAGUGCAUAUACAAUUAUGUUUACACUAUAUUGUAGUCCAUUAAGUGUGCAGUAGCAUUAUGUCUAAGAAACAAUGUACAUACUUUAAUUAAAAAAUACUUUAUUACUAAAAAAUGCUAACUGUCAUC